rnacentral:rRNA from 1 species
GACGAACGCUGGCGGCGUGCUUAACACAUGCAAGUCGAACGGCAACGCCCUGCUUUUGUGGGGUUCUCGAGUGCCGAACGGGUGAGUAACACGUGUGUAACCUGCCCUUGUCUUUGGGAUAACUUCAGGAAACUGGGGCUAAUACCGUAUAGCAGCUCCUGCUGCAUGGUGGGGGUUGGAACGUUUCGGCGGUUGGGGAUGGACUCGCGGCUUAUCAGCUUGUUGGUGGGGUAGUGGCUUACCAAGGCUUUGACGGGUAGCUGGCCUGAGAGGGUGACCGGCCACAUUGGGACUGAGAUACGGCCCAGACUCCUACGGGAGGCAGCAGUGGGGAAUAUUGCACAAUGGGCGGAAGCCUGAUGCAGCAACGCCGCGUGCGGGAUGACGGCCUUCGGGUUGUAAACCGCUUUCGCCUGUGACGAAGCGUGAGUGACGGUAAUGGGUAAAGAAGCACCGGCUAACUACGUG